UUGAUCGUCAUUGGAUGUUGCGGGCAAAAUCGAGAGGCGACAUCGCUCGUGGCGGCUGAUGGCUUUUGACAACACAACGGUAAAGCGUCAUGCAUGUAGCGCCGCAAGGUGCCGUGCGCAUGGGGCGAAGCUUAGUAAGUUGUUGUUGAUUGCCAUCGGUUGUUGUGUGUUGUGUCUGGAAUCUCUCAUGGCGGCUGAUG
rnacentral:lncRNA from 1 species